UACGUAGGGUCCGAGCGUUGUCCGGAAUUAUUGGGCGUAAAGGGCUCGUAGGCGGUUUGUCGCGUCGGGAGUGAAAACACGGGGCUUAACCCCGGGUCUGCAUUCGAUACGGGCAGGCUAGAGUGUGGUAGGGGAGAUCGGAAUUCCUGGUGUAGCGGUGAAAUGCGCAGAUAUCAGGAGGAACACCGGUGGCGAAGGCGGAUCUCUGGGCCAUUACUGACGCUGAGGAGCGAAAGCGUGGGGAGCGAACAGG
rnacentral:rRNA from 1 species